UAGCGGGUGAUAGCCCCGUAUCCGAAAGGGACCUUGCAGUGAAAUCGAGUAGGUCGGGACACGUGUUAUCUUGACUGAAUGUGGGGGGACCAUCCUCCAAGGCUAAGUACUCUCAGCUGACCGAUAGUGAACCAGUACCGUGAGGGAAAGGCGAAAAGAACCCCGGAGAGGGGAGUGAAAUAGAACCUGAAACCAGGUGCGUACAAGCAGUCGGAGCCUUCUUAGGAGGGUGACGGCGUACCUUUUGUAUAAUGGGUCAGCGACUUACUCUCAGUGGCAAGGUUAACCGUAUAGGGGAGCCGUAGGGAAACCGAGUCUGAUAAGGGCGUCGUAGUCGCUGGGAGUAGACCCGAAACCGGGUGAUCUAUCCAUGGCCAGGGUGAAGGUGCCGUAACAGGCACUGGAGGCCCGAACCG
rnacentral:rRNA from 13 species